rnacentral:rRNA from 1 species
UACGUAGGGCGCAAGCGUUGUCCGGAAUUAUUGGGCGUAAAGAGCUCGUAGGCGGCUUGUCGCGUCGGAUGUGAAAGCCCGGGGCUUAACCCCGGGUCUGCAUUCGAUACGGGCAGGCUAGAGUGUGGUAGGGGAGAUCGGAAUUCCUGGUGUAGCGGUGAAAUGCGCAGAUAUCAGGAGGAACACCAGUGGCGAAGGCGGCACUCUGGGCCGGGUACUGACGCUGAGGAGCGAAAGCGUGGGGAGCGAACAGG